GAUGAACGCUGGCGGCGCGCCUAACACAUGCAAGUCGAACGGUUAAAGCAUCUUCGGAUGUGCAUAAAGUGGCGAACGGCUGAGUAACACGUGGGCAACCUGCCCCUCGCAUCGGGACAGCCUCGGGAAACCGUGGUUAAUACCGGAUACUCCGCCACCCCCGCAUGGGGGAGGCGGGAAAGCCCAGACGGCGAGGGAUGGGCCCGCGGCCUGUUAGCUUGUUGGCGGGGCAGUGGCCCACCAAGGCGAUGAUGGGUAGCCGGGUUGAGAGACCGACCGGCCAGAUUGGGACUGAGACACGGCCCAGACUCCUACGGGAGGCAGCAGUGGGGAAUCUUGCACAAUGGGCGAAAGCCUGAUGCAGCGACGCCGCGUGCGGGACGAAGGCCUUCGGGUCGUAAACCGCUUUCAGCAGGGACGAGGCCGCAAGGUGACGGUACCUGCAGAAGAAGCCCCGGCUAACUACGUGCCAGCAGCCGCGGUAAUACGUAGGGGGCGAGCGUUAUCCGGAUUCAUUGGGCGUAAAGCGCGCGUAGGCGGCCUGCUAGGUCGGGAGUCAAAUCCGGGGGCUCAACCCCCGUCCGCUCCCGAUACCGGCUGGCUUGAGUCUGGUAGGGGAAGGUGGAAUUCCCAGUGUAGCGGUGGAAUGCGCAGAUAUUGGGAAGAACACCGGUGGCGAAGGCGGCCUUCUGGGCCACGACUGACGCUGAGGCGCGAAAGCUAGGGGAGCGAACAGG
rnacentral:rRNA from 1 species